GUUCCGCCACAACGGCUUCCUGACGUGGCGGUGAAACCCAAUGGAGCA
rfam:Xuhuaishuia manganoxidans strain DY6-4 genome.